UUGACCUCAAAUCAGGUAGACACCCGGCU
rnacentral:rRNA from 1 species